AUCCUGAGUCACCUGCCAGAGGACAUCACCUGCCACACGGAGGACAUCAGUGGACAGUUCCCUCAGGCCUUUCCAUUGGAUGAUAUGAGAAGAGCAUGAGCUCCAGAAGCCAUUUCCAGGAGCUGAAGGAGGUCAGAACCCUGACCACAGAUGCCGCCUGGUGCUCUCAGCCACAAGACCAAGACAGCCUCCGGGGACCCCAUCCCUCAAGCAAGAAGUCAAAUGCAAAGCAAGUUCAAAGGCAGGUCAUACACCAGCUAAGCGGGCACAGCUGGGCACAGUUCCCGGGGCCUGCCGGGCAGCGCUGGGAAGGGCG
rnacentral:lncRNA from 10 species